rnacentral:rRNA from 1 species
UCGGGAAUAUUGCACAAUGGACGAAAGUCUGAUGCAGCAACGCCGCGUGCGCGAUGAAGGCCUUCGGGUUGUAAAGCGCUUUUCGGGAGGAUGAGGAAGGACAGUACUCCCGGAAUAAGGUACGGCUAACCACGUGCCAGCAGCCGCGGUAAAACGUAGGUACCGAGCGUUAUCCGGAUUUACUGGGCGUAAAGCGUGUUCAGGCGGCCUGGCAAGUCGGGCAUGAAAUCUCUCGGCUCAACCGAGAGAGGCUGUCCGAUACUGCUGGGCUUGAGGACGGUAGAGGGUGGUGGAAUUCCGCGUGUAGUGGUGAAAUGCGUAGAUAUGCGGAGGAACACCAGUGGCGAAGGCGGCCACCUGGACCGUCCCUGACGCUCAAACACGAAAGCUAGGGUAGCGAACGGGAUUAGAAACCCCGGUAGUCCUAGCCGUAAACGAUGUUGACUGGGUGUCAGAGGUGUAAAACCCUUUGGUGCCGGAGCAAACGCGUUAAGUCAACCGCCUGGGGACUACGGCCGCAAGGUUAA